rnacentral:misc_RNA from 1 species
GAUGAAGAACGUAGCGAAAUGCGAUACGUAAUGUGAAUUGCAGAUCUCUCAGUGAACCAUCGAAUCUUUGAACGCACAUUGCGCCCGCCAGCAUUCUGGCGGGCAUGCCUGUCCGAGCGUCAUUUCAACCCUCAGGGUCCCUCCGCCUCGCGCGGUCGGAGCCUGGUGUUGGGGAUCGGCCCGCCCCGCGCGGCGCCGUCCCCCAAAUACAGUGGCGGUCCCGCCGCAGCCUCCCCUGCGCAGUAGUUAUCAACUCGCACUGGAGCGCGGCGCGGCCACGCCGUAAAACCCCCGACUUUUAGAAAGUUGACCUCGGAUCAGGUAGGAAUACCCGCUGAACUUAAGCAUAUCAAUAAGCGGAGGA